UAAAAUUUCAUUUCAUUGUAGUUAUACGUGUGUGCACAGCAAAGGAGGAGCAAGGAGGUGACGGUGAAAUUGGUGGAGGUUUAUGGAUUUAGAAUUGGUGUAAUAUAUAACAACAAUGGAAAAUAACAUGAUAUUGAAAACACAAAUCUUCUUCUGCUUACGCGGUUAUAGCCGAGUCCACAACAGCGCGCUACGCAUCUCUCCUUUUGUUAGUUAGGCGUCAAUUGGUAAUACCAAGUGAAGACAGGUCCAUCCCCACCUGGACCUUCCAACGGAGUGGAGGUCUCCCUCUUCCACGGCUUCCACCAGCGGGUACCGCAUCGAAAACUUUCAGAGCUGAGACUUUCGUCCAUUCGAACAACAUGACCAAGCCCACGUAGCCACUGUCUUUUUAUUCGCUGAACUAUGCCUAUGUCGUCGAACAACACAUACAGCUCAUCAUUUCAUCUUCUGCGGUAUUCGCCGUUGCCAAUGUUUAAGGGACCAUAAAUCUUCCGCAAAACCUUUCUCUCGAAAACUCCUAGUGCCGUCUCAUUGGAUGCUGACACCGUCCACGCUUCUGAACCAUAAAGUAGGAAGUGGAAUGAUGAGGGACUUGUAGAGUUUAGUUUUUGUUCAUCGAGACAGGACUUUACUUUUCAAUUGCUACUCAGUCCAUAAACACAAAUACUUUGCACAAAUGGAGGAUUACAAUAGCUACAACUUUUCUUAGGCAUGAUAAACAAGACAACAACAAAUCCCAUCGGACAUUUAGAUUAGCAGUUGCACAACCUAUUUACCUUUUAUGAUGUACAUAUGAGAUAGGAUUGUGUGGAAUUGACAUCAAACAAUAUUGGUUGAGUAGUUUCGUACAGAAUAGUUAUAAGGUUUAAA